rnacentral:rRNA from 1 species
UACGGGGGGGGCAAGCGUUGUUCGGAAUUACUGGGCGUAAAGGGCUCGUAGGCGGCCAACUAAGUCAGACGUGAAAUCCCUCGGCUUAACCGGGGAACUGCAUCUGAUACUGGAUGGCUUGAGUUCGGGAGAGGGAUGCGGAAUUCCAGGUGUAGCGGUGAAAUGCGUAGAUAUCUGGAGGAACACCGGUGGCGAAGGCGGGUCUCUGGGCAACAACUGACGCUGAGGAGCGAAAGCGUGGGGAGCGAACAGG